rnacentral:lncRNA from 1 species
GAAAAUUCAUUAUCCUUCCUUCAUUUUUCAUUUAUAUCGUUCGAGAAAAUAGAAAGCAAGAGAGAGAAUAGAGAGAAAGAGAGAGAAACUCAUGGAUGAGUUAAGGAGCAAAGAGAAGAAGCAAUCAUCUAGCAAGCUUUAAGCUUUGAUCAUCUAGCUAAGUAAGAAGAAAAAGAUCUUCAAGAGGUAAUCUUAAAACCUUAAACCAUUUCUCCAUCUUUUCAUGUUUAUUUUAGUUUUGAUGGUGGUUGAAUAUGGUAUAUAUAGGUAUGCUUGUAAUCUACCCGGUAAAUGCAUGAAAAAUGGAACAAAAGAAAGAAAAUGAACCCAAGCAUAAAGGAUGGAAAAAAAUAAAUAGUGGGCGAUUUUGGGACCAUUUUGCUAUUAUGUACCAAAUCUAAAAAUUAAGUUUUGGGGUGUUAUUUUAUACCCUUAUGAGUUAUGAACAUAACCCAAUUGGAACGGAGGCAAAAACUUGUAUAACGAAGCCAUGACGAAUUUUUAAGUAAGAGUACUAGUUAAAAAGUUAAAAACGAAAUUAGUGUAAACCCAGACUCUUGAACAGUUUUCUGUUCUAAAUGGUUUGCUAGAAAAAUUUUCCGCUUUGAGGGUUGAGUAUUACGUUAAUUAAGUAACAAGUCCGUGGAUGUAAGAAUGACUUCAUUUCGAGUCCCGAGGUGGGAGAUAUGCCCUUCGGAAGGAGACUAGUCAAAACUGUCAAAAACUGUAAAAUUAUUUCGGGUAGGGACUUUUGUGCCACUGUUUGGGCCAAAGAAUGAACCUGAAAAAAUUUCCACUCGUGAGGAUUUGUAGUAGAUGCAAUAAGGAAGAAAAUAAUACAAGAACGGACCCAUUACGAUAACGGCGGGUCAAGUUAUGACGUUGUAAAGUAGGUGCGACGAUAACGAAAAACUGCAUGUUUUCGUUUCUGGAGACGGGUAGUUUUGUACUAAUGCAGAAAGGUUAGCCUGUCCGGAUUUACAGACAUGGAGUUUUGUGCUAAAACGGACGGAUUUUUGCUGUCUGGAUGGUCAUACAUGGAGUUUAAAGAUAAAGUAGACAGGUUAAGCUGUCAAUUUUAUACCUGUAACAUAAAAUGAAGAAUAAAAGUUGGGCGUAUUGAUUAAAUCAUAAAAUGCGAAUAUAAGAGAUGGAAUGAAAUUAAUAAAGUCAUGGAGGGACUUUAAUAUGUAAUUCUAAAUUAUGAUUUAGGCUAAGCGGGAAAUAAACAAAGUGUAUUGAUUUUCAAAAGCCGAAUAGUCAGACAAUGUUAUGCUACGUUGUUCCGAACUAUAUAAGACGAGCGUAAUAAAGAUUAAUUAAAGAAUGAUUUAAUAUGUCUUAAAUUAUGAAAUAUAAGCAUCAUGAGACUUUUGAAUUAAAGUCUAAACUAUGAACGAAGUUAAAAGAGAAAUAUACCGGGGUGUAUAAAGUUAAGUACGUUGUUUCGAGUUAUAAAACCCUAACAUUGUGAAUUAUGAAAUAAGCUAAGAUAAGCUAAAGUAAACCACUAUUUGGGGUCAAUACUUGACUAAUUGGUAUGUUCGACAUUAAUGAUAUAUGUAGGUCGUUUGAAGAGCAAUGUAGCAUAAACUAUAAAGUGUUAAGGUAAGUUUUCUAAACUUACUCAAAUUUUAUAAUUGAGUGAGUUUUCUACUUUCAUUUGAUUACGUAUUCAUAAAUGCAAGUAUUGUAUAAUCUUGUAUAUCUAUUGUUAUGUACAAGACAUGAGAUUAAACUGUGGAAUUUUAUUUGAUAUAUAAAAUUCAUCGUAUGAUGUGAUAUAAGCUAUGAAAAAUGAGUUCGGCCAUUUGAUUCGGUUUAACUCAAUUUGUUGAGCUAUUUCAGUCAAAAUGUUUAUUGUUAAGAUAUUAAAUGUUGAUAAAUUAUUUAUUUGUGAGAAGUUGUAUGUGACGCCCCCAAAAUAGGUAUACAUCACCCAUUCUGAGUCACCAAAUAUAUGGUACAGAAUACAAAUACAAACUUAAUCAUACAACUGUCGUGUAACAUAAACUGAGAGUUUUAACACGAAUAUUGUCUUCUAGACAUGCAAUAUCCAAACUCAAAUGAAAUCCUCAUUAUAUUUAUUAUCACACUAUUUGAAAGAUAUAGUGAGGACUACUAAAGCAACCAUCUGGACCAUCACUCCAUUCUCCGACUAGUCCCAGCUAUAUUCUCAUUUCCUGAAGAGAACAAUGAAAACAAAGGGUGAGCUCAACUAGCCCAGUAAAGAAUAUUAUGACAAAGAUAAUGCAGAAUAAAUUAUCAUUAGUUUUCAAUAGUGUUAAACUGAUAGAAUACAAUAGACAACAAGUUUAACUGCAGCGAAACAAACAAUCCAUUAGAAGAGUCAAGUAGAACAAAAUAUCUACUAUCUUCUAUGAUUUAAAAGUUUAUCAUAAAUUUUAUCGCUGAGACUCAGCUUAAUAAAUAAUCCACAUCACUAAAUUAUCCAUGCAUUACAGGCCAAGGAUAUUCAUUAGUAUCACAUCCACGAAUUAUCCAUGCACUACGGGCCAAGGAUAUUCGUGUUAUCACCAAUAGUCAUGAUCAUGACAAACAACAAUUCAUCUUUGCACCAUUGGCCGAAGUGAACCCAUGGUCAUGAUCAUACCAACAACUGCCCAUCAAUGCACUACGGGCCAAUGAAGACUUUUACCACAUCAUUUAUAACAUUACAAGUUAUGAUUAUACCGAAUAAUCUCUGGUCAUAAUUAUACCAAUCAACAUUCCAUUUAUGCAUUACGGGCCAAACAUGACCUUCAUCAUAAUAUAAGCAUGAGGAUGAUGACAAUGAUAUAAGAAUUCAAUCAAACGAAAUCAAGGAUAAAUAUUAAAGACUUUAAAUUUAUCCAGAGUUUAAAAAUGUCCAAAUUAUUAACAUGAUAACUACUUUGUGGAGUAAAAUUCAAGAAUAAUAUUUCGAAAAUAAUUUUGACAGAAAAGAAAUCAAUUUUUGUCAUGAAUAGUACCUCGGGUGAAUAGUACCUAAGCGAAUAGUAUCCCGUGAAUAGUACUUCAUGAAUAGUACCCCGUGAAUAGUACCCGAGCAUGAAAAGUUUAAAAUUUAACAAGAAUGUCCAGAAAAAUAUUCUUAUGAAACGAUACUAGAUGAAACGCAAAUUUUAAGGAUAUUCUACUAAUUUCAAGGAGUAUAGAAGCAAUACUUAACUAAAUGAGUGUAGAAUUCGGAAUCUGAAACGAAAUAAUAUUACUUACGUACUACAGAGAAUGAAAGAAAAUAUUAUUUCUUACGAAUAUUGAACAAAAAUAAUAUCCUUUACGACUGUUGAGCGAAAAUAAUAUUACUUACGAAUAUUUAACGAAGAUAAUAUUCCUUACGAAUAUUGAACAAAAAUAAUAUUACUUACGAAUAUUGAACGAAAAUAAAAUUUCUUACGAAUACAAAAAAAAUAUCGUAAGUGAAUAUGAAAUAAAUAAUACCCCUUACAACUGUUGAACGAAAAUAAUAUUCCUACGAAUAUUAAACGAAGAUAAUAUUCCUUACGAAUAUGAAAAAUAAUAUCGUAAGCGAAUAUGAAAUAAAUAAUACCUCUUACCUUAAAAAGAGAGCAAUUUCGACUGGUAUAACGGAGAUAUUCUUAAAGAAAACUUAUACUGUUUUCUACACUUAAAGCUUCCUUAAACUCUAAAGAAAUAUGCUCAAUAUUAUAGAAGAUUAAUUUUCUGAUUCUGGUGUGAUUUUCAAUCCUAAACUAAGUAUCCUAUUUAUAAGAGAAUGGCAGGGCGCUAUUUAAAUUAGAAAUCACGGGUGAAUAGAGAAAUGCAAUCACGGGCAUUCGGUUGAAUUUUCUGGAAAAAAAAUUGAUUUUACUAUGCUGCACUAUGCAGUACUAUGC